rnacentral:rRNA from 1 species
GGCUGAAACUCGCCUCCAUGAAGUUGGAUUCGCUAGUAAUCGCGCAUCAGCAAUGGCGCGGUGAAUACGUUCCCGGGCCUUGUACACACCGCCCGUCAAGCCAUGGGAGUUGGGGGUGCCUGAAGUACGUGACCGCAAGGAGCGUCCUAGGGCAAAACCGAUGACUGGGGCUAAGUCGUAACAAGGUACC